ensembl:snRNA U6 U6 spliceosomal RNA
GUGCUCACUUCGGCAGCAUAUAUACUAAAAGUGGAAUGAUACAGAGAAGAUUAGCAUGGCCCCUGCGCAAGGAUAACACCCAAAUUUGCGAAGCAUUCCAUAUUUAA